UAGCGGCGGACGGGUGAGUAACGCGUGGGAAUAUGCCCUUUGGUACGGAACAGUCCCGGGAAACUGGGUUUAAUACCGUAUGUGGUCCUUCGUAGUGGAUACGGGGGACGAAAGAUUUAUCGCCAAAGGAUUAGCCCGCGUUGGAUUAGGUAGUUGGUGGGGUAACGGCCUACCAAGCCGACGAUCCAUAGCUGGUUUGAGAGGAUGAUCAGCCACACUGGGACUGAGACACGGCCCAGACUCCUACGGGAGGCAGCAGUGGGGAAUCUUAGACAAUGGGGGCAACCCUGAUCUAGCCAUGCCGCGUGAGUGAUGAAGGCCUUAGGGUUGUAAAGCUCUUUCAGCUGGGAAGAUAAUGACGGUACCAGCAGAAGAAGCCCCGGCUAACUCCGUGCCAGCAGCCGCGGUAAUACGGAGGGGGCUAGCGUUGUUCGGAAUUACUGGGCGUAAAGCGCAUGUAGGCGGACCAGAAAGUUGGGGGUGAAAUCCCGGGGCUCAACCCCGGAACGGCCUUCAAAACUAUUGGUCUGGAGUUCGAGAGAGGUGAGUGGAAUUCCGAGUGUAGAGGUGAAAUUCGUAGAUAUUCGGAGGAACACCAGU
rnacentral:rRNA from 1 species